GACGAACGCUGGCGGCGUGCUUAACACAUGCAAGUCGAACGGAAAGGCCCUGCUUUUGUGGGGUGCUCGAGUGGCGAACGGGUGAGUAACACGUGAGUAACCUGCCCUUGACUUUGGGAUAACUUCAGGAAACUGGGGCUAAUACCGGAUAGGAGCUCCUGCUGCAUGGUGGGGGUUGAAAAGUUUCGGCGGUUGGGGAUGGACUCGCGGCUUAUCAGCUUGUUGGUGGGGUAGUGGCUUACCAAGGCUUUGACGGGUAGCCGGCCUGAGAGGGUGACCGGCCACAUGGGGACUGAGAUACGGCACAGAAUCCUACGGGAGGCAGCAGUGGGGAAUAUUGCAAAAUGGGCGGAAGCCUGAUGCAGCAACGCCGCGUGCGGGAUGACGGCCUUCGGGUUGUAAACCGCUUUCGCCUGUGACGAAGCGUGAGUGACGGUAAUGGGUAAAGAAGCACCGGCUAACUACGUG
rnacentral:rRNA from 1 species